rnacentral:rRNA from 1 species
UUUGAUUCUGGCUCAGAUUGAACGCUGGCGGGAUGCUUUACACAUGCAAGUCGAACGGCAGCACGGACUUCGGUCUGGUGGCGAGUGGCGAACGGGUGAGUAAUGUAUCGGAACGUGCCUUAGUAGCGGGGAUAACUACGCGAAAGCGUAGCCAAUACCGCACACACUUCGGGAAAGCGGGGGACCUUCGGGCCUCGCACUAUUAGAGCGUGGCCGAUAUCGACAUAGUUGGUGGGUACAACGGCUCACCAAGGCGACGAUCCGUGGCUGGUUUGAGAGGACGACCAGCCAGCACUGGGACUGGAGACACGGCCCAGACUCCUACGGAGGCAGCAGUGGGAAUUUUGGACAAUGGGGGAAACUCUCGAUCCAGCCAUCCUGCGUGUGCUGAUGAAGGCCCUUCGGGUUGUAAAGCACUUUGGCAGGAAAGAAACGGCACGGGAUAAUACCCCGUGCAACUGACGGUACCUGCAGAAUAAGCACCGCCAACUGACGCCAGCAGCCGCGGCAAUACGUAGGUGCAAGCGUUAAUCGGAAUUACUGGGCGUAAAGCGUGCGCAGGCGGUUCGGAAAGAAAGAUGUGAAAUCCCAGAGCUUAACUUUGAACUGCAUUUUUAACUACCGAGCUAGAGUGUGUCAGGAGGGAGUGUGAAUUCCUGCGUGUAGCAAUAAAUGCGUAGAUAUGGAGGAACACCGAUGGCGAAGGCAGCCUGGGAUAACACUGACGCUCAUACACGAAAGCGUGGGGAGCAAAACAGGAUUAGAUACCCUGGUAGUCCACGCCCUAAACGAUGUCAACUAGCUGUUGGGGCCUUCGGGCCUUGGUAGCGCAGCUAACGCGGUUGGAAUCGCCUGGGGAGCACGGCUGCAAGAUUAGAACUCAAAGGAAUUGACGGGGACCCGCACAAGCGGUGGAUGAUGAUUAAUUCGAUGCAAUGCGAAAACCCUACCUACCCUUGACAUGUCUGGAAUCCCGGAAGAGAUUUGGGAGUGCUCGCAAGAGAACCGGAACACAGGUGCUGCAUGGCUGUCGUCAGCUCGUGUCGUGAGAUGUUGGGUUAAGUCCCGCAACGAGCGCAAACUCCCCGUCAUUAGUUGCUACGAAAGGGCACUCACGAGACUGCCGGUGACAAACCGGAGGAAGGUGGGGAUGACGUCAAGUCCUCAUGGCCCUUAUGGGUAGGCUCACACGUCAUACAAUGGUCGGGAACAGAGGGUCGUGCCGAACCAAGGAGGGGAGUCAACCCAGAAACCCGAUCAGAAUCUGGAUCGCAGUCUGCAACUCGACUGCGUGAAGUCGGAAUCGCUAGUAAUCGCGGAUCAAAGCGUCGCGGUGAAUACGUUCCCGGGUCUUGUACACACCGCCCGUCACACCAUGGGAGUGGGUUUACUCAGAAGUAGUUAGCCUAACCGUAAGGAGGGCGAUUACUACUAUAGGAUUCAUGACUGGGGUGAAGUCGUAACAAGGUA